UUAAGCGACUAAGCGUACACGGUGGAUGCCCUGGCAGUCAGAGGCGAUGAAGGACGUGCUAAUCUGCGAAAAGCGUCGGUAAGGUGAUAUGAACCGUUACAGCCGGCGAUGUCCGAAUGGGGAAACCCAGUGUGAUUCGUCACACUAUCGUUAACUGAAUACAUAGGUUAACGAGGCGAACCGGGGGAACUGAAACAUCUAAGUACCCCGAGGAAAAGAAAUCAACCGAGAUUCCCCCAGUAGCGGCGAGCGAACGGGGAGCAGCCCAGAGUCUGAAUCAGCUUGUGUGUUAGUGGAACGGUCUGGAAAGUCCGACGGUACAGGGUGAUAGUCCCGUACACCAAAAUGCACAGGUUGUGAACUCGAAGAGUAGGGCGGGACACGUGGUAUCCUGUCUGAAUAUGGGGGGACCAUCCUCCAAGGCUAAAUACUCCUGACUGACCGAUAGUGAACCAGUACCGUGAGGGAAAGGCGAAAAGAACCCCGGCGAGGGGAGUGAAAAAGAACCUGAAACCGUGUACGUACAAGCAGUGGGAGCACCUUUAUGGUGUGACUGCGUACCUUUUGUAUAAUGGGUCAGCGACUUAUAUUCUGUAGCAAGGUUAACCGUAUAGGGGAGCCGCAGGGAAACCGAGUCUUAACUGGGCGUUAAGUUGCAGGGUAUAGACCCGAAACCCGGUGAUCUAGCCAUGGGCAGGUUGAAGGUUGGGUAACACUAACUGGAGGACCGAACCGACUAAUGUUGAAAAAUUAGCGGAUGACUUGUGGCUGGGGGUGAAAGGCCAAUCAAACCGGGAGAUAGCUGGUUCUCCCCGAAAGCUAUUUAGGUAGCGCCUCGUGAACUCAUCUUCGGGGGUAGAGCACUGUUUCGGCUAGGGGGUCAUCCCGACUUACCAACCCGAUGCAAACUACGAAUACCGAAGAAUGUUAUCACGGGAGACACACGGCGGGUGCUAACGUCCGUCGUGAAGAGGGAAACAACCCAGACCGCCAGCUAAGGUCCCAAAGUCAUGGUUAAGUGGGAAACGAUGUGGGAAGGCACAGACAGCCAGGAUGUUGGCUUAGAAGCAGCCAUCAUUUAAAGAAAGCGUAAUAGCUCACUGGUCGAGUCGGCCUGCGCGGAAGAUGUAACGGGGCUAAACCAUGCACCGAAGCUGCGGCAGCGACACUAUGUGUUGUUGGGUAGGGGAGCGUUCUGUAAGCCUGCGAAGGUGGCCUGUGAGGGUUGCUGGAGGUAUCAGAAGUGCGAAUGCUGACAUAAGUAACGAUAAAGCGGGUGAAAAGCCCGCUCGCCGGAAGACCAAGGGUUCCUGUCCAACGUUAAUCGGGGCAGGGUGAGUCGACCCCUAAGGCGAGGCCGAAAGGCGUAGUCGAUGGGAAACAGGUUAAUAUUCCUGUACUUGGUGUUACUGCGAAGGGGGGACGGAGAAGGCUAUGUUAGCCGGGCGACGGUUGUCCCGGUUUAAGCAUGUAGGCGGAGGUUCCAGGUAAAUCCGGUACCUUUUAACGCUGAGGUGUGAUGACGAGGCACUACGGUGCUGAAGUAACAAAUGCCCUGCUUCCAGGAAAAGCCUCUAAGCAUCAGGUAACAUUAAAUCGUACCCCAAACCGACACAGGUGGUCAGGUAGAGAAUACCAAGGCGCUUGAGAGAACUCGGGUGAAGGAACUAGGCAAAAUGGUGCCGUAACUUCGGGAGAAGGCACGCUGGUGUGUAGGUGAAGUCCCUGCGGAUGGAGCUGAGACCAGUCGAAGAUACCAGCUGGCUGCAACUGUUUAUUAAAAACACAGCACUGUGCAAACACGAAAGUGGACGUAUACGGUGUGACGCCUGCCCGGUGCCGGAAGGUUAAUUGAUGGGGUUAUCCGUAAGGAGAAGCUCUUGAUCGAAGCCCCGGUAAACGGCGGCCGUAACUAUAACGGUCCUAAGGUAGCGAAAUUCCUUGUCGGGUAAGUUCCGACCCGCACGAAAGGUGUAACGA
rnacentral:rRNA from 1 species